rnacentral:rRNA from 1 species
GACGAACGCUGGCGGCGUGCUUAACACAUGCAAGUCGAACGGAAAGGCCCUGCUUUUGUGGGGUGCUCGAGUGGCGAACGGGUGAGUAACACGUGAGUAACCUGCCCUUGACUUUGGGAUAACUUCAGGAAACUGGGGCUAAUACCGGAUAGGAGCUCCUGCUGCAUGGUGGGGGUUGGAAAGUUUCGGCGGUUGGGGAUGGACUCGCGGCUUAUCAGCUUGUUGGUGGGGUAGUGGCUUACCAAGGCUUUGACGGGUAGCCGGCCUGAGAGGGUGACCGGCCAAAUUGGGAACGGGAAUAGGGCCAGACUCCCAAGGGAGGCAGGAGUGGGGAAUAUUGCACCAUGGGCGGAAGGCUGAUGCAGCAAAGGCGCGUGCGGGAUGACGGCCUUCGGGUUGUAAACCGCUUUCGCCUGUGACGAAGCGUGAGUGACGGUAAUGGGUAAAGAAGCACCGGCUAACUACGUG